rnacentral:rRNA from 1 species
CGGUGUUCAACUGGCGUGCCCGCGGGACGUCCUGCCGGUGAGCUCAGCCCGCGAGGGCGGCUCAACUUGAAAUCCCAUCGCGGUGCUCUUCAUUGAGUGUCGAGGUGGGCCGGCACGAUUACUUUUGAACAAAUUAGAGUGCUUAAAGCAGGCUAAAAUUUUGCCUGAAUACUGUGUAUAUGGAAUAAUGGAAUAGGACCUCGGUUCUAUUUUGUUGGUUUUCGGAACCCCGAGGUAAUGAUUAAUAGGAACGGAUGGGGGCAUUCGUAUUGCGACGUUAGAGGUGAAAUUCUUGGAUCGUCGCAAGACGGACUAAAGCGAAAGCAUUUGCCAAAAACGCUUUCAUUGAUCAAGAACGAAAGUUAGAGGUUCGAAGGCGAUCAGAUACCGCCCUAGUUCUAACCAUAAACUAUGCCAGCUAGCGAUCCGCCGACGUCCCUCUGAUGACUCGGCGGGCAGCUUCCGGGAAACCAAAGCUUUUGGGUUCCGGGGGAAGUAUGGUUGCAAAGCUGAAACUUAAAGGAAUUGACGGAAGGGCACCACCAGGAGUGGAGCCUGCGGCUUGAUUUGACUCAACACGGGAAACCUCACCAGGCCCAGACACUGGAAGGAUUGACAGAUUGAGAGCUCUUUCUUGAUUCAGUGGGUGGUGGUGCAUGGCCGUUCUUAGUCGGUGGAGCGAUUUGUCAGGUUAAUUCCGAUAACGGACGAGACUCUGACCUGAUAACUAGACGCACUUGCGGCAUCUCAAAGGUCCGCCGGCGGCUGGCUUUGCGCCCGUCGUCGCGCGCGAUUUUUACUGCCGGCGUACAAUAAAUUCUUCUUAGAGGGACAAGUGG